AGCUUCUUCUCUGCCCCAAGAGUGGUAGCCUUCGUGGCAGGGCACGACUCUCUCCCAGCUCGGGUAGCCGCCCACAUUAGUGUGGGGCCCUGCGGCCUAGCGUCCCUCACCAGAGGCCUCCCCUUGCCCAGCUGGACCGCCAAGGGACAUCGACGAGUACCCUCCUCCUGCUGUCCCCGGCUUCGCCUGCCGCCCCUAACCGGCCAGUUAAGAUGGCCGCCGCUGGGUGAAGCGAGCUGGCGCGCCGCGGGGGCGUCUGGGAGUUGUAGUCCGGGACGGCGGGCUGACGCACUUCGCCGCCGGCCGACGGGCGCCAUUGUGCGGCGCGCGCCGGAGUAUCCUGAGCUCCAGCUGGACCCUAAAUUGGAUCCUCUUCCUGCUGAGAGUCCCCUGAUGAACAUUGAGGUUGUUGAGGUCCUCACACUGAACCAGGAGGUGGCCGGUCCCCGGAAUGCCCAGAUCCAGGCCCUAUAUGCUGAAGAUGGAAGCCUGAGCGCAGAUGCCCCCAGUGAGCAGGUCCAACAGCAGGGCAAGCAUCCAGGUGACCCUGAGGCUGCGCGCCAGAGGUUCCGGCAGUUCCGUUAUAAGGACAUGACAGGUCCCCGGGAGGCCCUGGACCAGCUCCGAGAGCUGUGUCACCAGUGGCUACAGCCUAAGGCACGCUCCAAGGAGCAGAUCCUGGAGCUGCUGGUGCUGGAGCAGUUCCUAGGUGCACUGCCUGUGAAGCUCCGGACAUGGGUGGAAUCACAGCACCCAGAGAACUGCCAAGAGGUGGUGGCCCUGGUAGAGGGUGUGACCUGGAUGUCUGAGGAGGAAGUACUUCCUGCAGGACAACCUGCCGAGGAUACCACCUGCUGCCUCGAGGUCACUGCCCAGCAGGAGGAGAAGCAGAAGGAGGAUGCGGCCAUCUGCCCAGUGACAGUGCUCUCUGAGGUAAGCGGGGAGUAUCACCCUGUUUUGGUCACAGCAUCUCCUGUGAGGCAGGCCCACCCCUGAGGUAUCCACUCUGCCCUGGGCUUUCCUAAGACCUCCCACAGGCUGGGGCAUUCUGAGAUUCUGAGCUCUUAGGUCUGUGCUGAAGCAAUCUGAGUAUGAAGAGCAGCCCUGCCCUCCAGCCGCUGUGGCAUCAUUGGAGACAAGGCAUGGUGACCCAGGAGCUGAGAAAGGAGGAGGCAAAAGGGAAGGGACUAAGUGUUUACAGAGACUUGAGAGGUGGAACUACCACAGGCAGGCACAUCGGUAUCCAGGUCAGAACAAGAAAGCCCUCAGCCUUCAGAAAUGCAUACUUAGGUAUUUAUCUUUGGUAUCUGGGAUUUGCUUCAGAAUAACCCAGAGCUGGGGUGUGGGUGAAAAAGAUUGGUCCUGAUGCGCUGUAUACUCAGGUCCUGGGGUAGUGGUAUGUAUGUGUCAUUGGUCAGAACUGUUUGCACUGCAAGUGGCUUAUACUGGCUCAAGCAUAGAAGUAAAUUUAUUGGCUCUCGUGUAUUCUCUGGUAGGCUUCAGGCAAGGCUGCAUCCAGGUGCUCCCAGGUGAUGGGAAGAGUCUCUGGCCAACCUGUUUCAUGGCUCUGCUUUCUC
rnacentral:sRNA from 1 species